UCGAACCCAAACAAGGUUAAUGAGGUCAAACUGAGAGCAACACCCCUCUCCUUCACUAACAUGUAAUCAUGUUACUCAACGCGGAGGCUGGAAGUUGUCGUCUGACUGAAUACACACUGAUCUCUACUGAGUGCCAGAGUCCCACUGGGAGCGUGUACUUACAAUAUUUGACUGCAGGAUAAGAUCACUGUCUGCCAAACACAACUGCAAGUCUACCAUGAAACCAAAGCUACGGACUAAUCACGAAGUUGAAAAGCAACAAAAGAAAAUAAAUAAAGAAAGCAGCGCCGGCAAAUUAAUUUCACCCCAGCAUGACGCCACAGCGCACAGGAGAGACUCAAGACUUUAGGGUUCGACAGGAGAAGAAAUACGAGUGAAAGAGAAAGAAAGACAGGGAGAGACUGAAAGAAAGGAAGAUAUUGAAAAGGAGAGACUUUUUCCUUUGUGUCUGUUGAGUGUGAGACGAGGGGCCGAGGGCACCGGGGGGUCGAGUUCGUGUGUGUGUGUCGUGAGGAGCCGCAGACGUUGCCUGCUGGGGGUCUGAGACGGAGUUGAAAGGAGCGAUUCCCUGUGUGUUCAGAGAAAUAGCGCACUCUUCAUUAAUUAUGUAUUUCUCCCAUAGAAAGCCUGGCAAAACUCACUCAGACAUCCAGCACUAAGCCGGCUUCCUGUAGCUGGUAAUGGGACAUCAGGAAGGGGAAGAAGAGGGGAUCACAACAGAGGAAUCUGAAGGUGGAGAAAAGUGACUUUGGUUGCUUUUUUAAUGCAUGGAGACUGACAUGUAAUUGGAAUACAUUUUGUACAUUUGUUCAUUCAUUCAUUCUCUUUUUGACUAAGUCCCUUUAUUAAUCAGGGGUCGCCACAGCAAAAUGAACCGCCAACCUAUCAGCAUAUGUUUUAUGCAGCAGAUGCCCUUCCAGCUGCAACCCAUCACUGGGAAACACCCAUCAUUCUCACACAAACACUACGGACACCGCAUGUCUUUGGACCUACACCUUCACCUACACCGCAUGUCUUUGGACUUGUGGGGGAAACCGGAGUACCUGGAGGAAACCCUCGCAAAGACGAGGAGAACAUGGAAACUCCACACAGAAAUGCCAACUGACCCAGCCAAGGCUCGAACCAGCAACCUUCUUGAUGUGAGGCGAUCAUGCUACCCACUGAGCCACCAAAUUCAUAAUUACAAAUUUUUACCUUUUGAUCAUUCGACUUAAUUUUUAUUUAUUUAUGCAUUAUAAAUCGCAUAUUAAAUUGCAUAAUAUUAAUGAACUAAACAAUUUUACUAUGUAAUUUCUACAGUUUUAUUUUAUGUCAUCUAAAGAAAAAUGACCUAGCCUGCAUUCAUAUAAUGAGAAACAUGCAGAGAUAAAAAUCCGCCCACAGUUAUGCAGGUGUUAUGUGAUGGCGCUGGAGAACGGAGUUGCGGAUCCAAAUGCAGGAUUUAUUACACAGAGAAUGGUCAGGCAGGCAGUCACAAUCAGGGGAAAAUGAUAACAUACAGGCAAAUCCAAAAGAGUGCUCAAUAACAGGCGAAUGGUCAGCACAGGCGGGACUAACAACGUAAACAUACAAAACAAAGCAAGGGUCAAACCAGCAAGACAAAGGAAAUGCGUCGUAAUGUCACAAAGCAGUAAAAUGAUACUCAGCAAUUGGUGUGUGUGUGUGUGUGUGUGUCUGCUGCUUUUAAAGUCCAUGUAAUCAGUUCAUAACGAUCCUCUUGCUGUGUGUGUGUGUGCGUGUGUGUGUGUGUGUGCGUGGGUGUGUGCGUGUGUGUGUGUGCGCGCGUGCGCGUGUGUGUGUGUGAUCAAAGUGAAACAGGAACAGGUGUGGGUGUGUGGUGCAUGACAGGAUUUGUAGUUCUUUUGGUGGCAGAUUUGUAGUUCUCCAGCGAUCUGUAUGGACUAGAUCACUGGUGAUUGUGACAAUAGGGAACAGAAAAUUUAAGUGUAAUUUAUACAGUUUUAUUUAAUUUCAUUUAUUUUACUUAAAUUUAUUUUUAUUAUUAUUUAAUUUAUCCAAAGAAAAAUGACCAAGCCUGCAUUGAUAUAAUGAGAAAAAUGCAGAGAUAAAAAUCUGCCCACGGAUCAAAUGUUUUUUACAGUUUAAUUUAAUUUGAUUUAUUUAUUUUAUUUGAUUUAUUUUUUUAAUCCAAAACCAAAUUACCUAGACUGCAUUGUAAUGCCGAGAUAAUAUGCAGUAUGAGCAAUAUGCAGAGAUAAAUAUGCAAAACAAUUAUGAACAAAAAAAAGAUCUAGCCUGCAUUGAUAUAAGGAGAAACAUGCAAGGAUAAAAAUCUUCACGUGGUUAUGCAAGGUUAUAAAACAGCUCAAAACAUUUUAAUGAUACAUCAUCAGAGGCCACAAAAUGUGCAACAGUACAAAAAGGUGUGAAAGUGCAAAACGCUUUCAAAAAGCCCUUCUUCAGUGUAUAGUUCAACACAGCGCCUGCCAUGUGCAAGCCGUUUUCAUUUUUAAUCAUUCUCAGAAUCAAGAUUUCUUGAUAUGAACAAUUCAAAUCUGCAAUCAGACCUGCACCCUAAACACUCAAAAAACUCCCAUGUACAUCCCAAUAUAUUCACAGUUACAAAACCUCAAUGUAAAGAUUAUACAGUGCUGUAUGUUUCUAUAAUGAGAAACAUGCUGGAGCAUAUUUUACAGUUAGAAAUGACUCUGAAAUCUUAGUAUAAUUUUAAGGAAACAAUGUCCUGUCUGCAAGAAAAAAUUAUUGCAAGCAGUUCCACCAUACAAAACCCCCCUGUGUACCAUCAAGCUGUUAAAAAAAAAAACAGCUGAGAAGAUGAAAUCUUGUUUGCUUAGAGGUUAUUAGUGCUGCAGCCUGCGUGUGACUACAGUAUGCUGGCCAUUGCUGAAAUCUGGCUUAAGUGUGUUUCUGUUUCUCUGAGCUUCUUUUCAUGCUGGACUCUGUGAGUGCGCGAGCCCUUAAGCAACAUUUAGAUUUUUAAUCAGUCUGUGAGAUUGAAAUCACCAGAGCCAACAUGUUAAUGGUUUGAUCUAGUUGUGGAUAAAUGUGUAGUGGCUUCAUGUUUAGGAGAGGAUCUUUUCAAAAAUCUUGCAGACUGUUGGGACUGCACUUAAACACACCAAAUCAUCACAUAAUGAUUAUGAUUUACUGCUUUUACCUAGCGCAAGGAUACAAAUUUUGUGUUUUGUGAGAAUGUGCAUUUGAAGGAGCUAUAAAGCAAAGAUACAAGUCUUUUACAGUUUAAUGUGACAGUUUAUUAAAAUA